rnacentral:rRNA from 1 species
CCCCAGCGCCACAAGUGGGAGCCACGAUUAUUGGGCCUAAAGCGUCCGUAGCCGGCCUGUCAAAUCUCUUGUGAAAUCGAUGAGCCUAACUCAUCGACGAGCAGGGGACACUAACAGGCUAGGGACUGGGAAGGGUUAGAGGUAUUCCUUGGGGAGCGGUAAAAUGCGAUAAUCCUUGGAAGACCACCUGUGGUGAAGACGUCUAACUAGAACAGAUCCGACGGUGAGGGACGAAAGCCAGGGGAGCAAAACG